AAACUAUUUUAUAGAACCAGUAACAUUGUCAAUGUUUUUGUUGUAAUCAAAAAAAUACAUAGACUUGUAUAUAAUUUUUUACAAUUUAAUCUUACGUGUUUUGUGUAUUGUCUGCAAUUUAAAUAUUUCACCGAAAUUUAAAACGAUAAUAACAAUGAUACCACGCCAUCAAUCACAGAUGUUACUAGUACUCACCUUGCCUCAAUUUAGUGAGAACAGAGAACUAUUUGAAACUGGAAAUGGGCAAACCCCCAGCUACGAUUUGACAUAGACGACAGCUGUUUGUAAUUUGCAGCAGCAACGCUAGAUUGCUCUUAAUCAUAACUACCAAGAAGCGGGAAAAAUUAUGAAUUAAAAAUGCCUAUUUCUACUUAAAUAUUCAUUCUUAUAUAUAUUACGAAAUUUAAUAAUUUUUGGAAUAGAAUAAAUAUGAUUAUAGUACUAUUAUAUCCUUAACUGCAG
rnacentral:misc_RNA from 1 species